AGUGAACGCUGGCGGUAGGCCUAACACAUGCAAGUCGAACGGCAGCACAGUAAGAGCUUGCUCUUACGGGUGGCGAGUGGCGGACGGGUGAGGAAUACAUCGGAAUCUACUUUUUCGUGGGGGAUAACGUAGGGAAACUUACGCUAAUACCGCAUACGACCUACGGGUGAAAGCAGGGGAUCUUCGGACCUUGCGCGAUUGAACGAGCCGAUGUCGGAUUAGCUAGUUGGCGGGGUAAAGGCCCACCAAGGCGACGAUCCGUAGCUGGUCUGAGAGGAUGAUCAGCCACACUGGAACUGAGACACGGUCCAGACUCCUACGGGAGGCAGCAGUGGGGAAUAUUGGACAAUGGGCGCAAGCCUGAUCCAGCCAUACCGCGUGGGUGAAGAAGGCCUUCGGGUUGUAAAGCCCUUUCGUUGGGAAAGAAAAGCAGCAGGUUAAUACCCCGCUGUUCUGACGGUACCCAAAGAAUAAGCACCGGCUAACUUCGUG
rnacentral:rRNA from 1 species